UUUUUUUUUCCCAAGACGGAGUCUCGCUCUGUAACCCAGGCUGGAGUGCAGUGGUGCGAUCUCGGCUCACUGCAAGCUCCCCCUCCCAGGUUCACGCCAUUCUCCUGCCUCAGCCUCCUGAGUAGCUGGGACUACAGGUGCCCGCCACCACGCCCGGUUAAUUUUUUUUGCAUUUUUAAUAGAGACGGGGUUUCACCGUGUUAACCAGGAUGAUCUCAAUCUCCUGACCUUGUGAUCCACCCGCCUCAGCCUCCCAAAGUGCUGGGAUUACAGGCGUGAGCCACCACGCCCGGUCAAAUAGUGUCUUACAAAGAUAAAUGUGAGCUUCCUGUGUAGAAUAUGGAAGUUAGUUCAGGACAAGCUCUUUUAAUUUUAAGAAAAUACACUGUUAUGUUUUAGAUGGAAUUUAUAGCAAAAGAAGAGCUGAUGGUGAUCCUAAAACACGGCAAGUCUAUUUUAUCCAGAAUCAGGAGGUUUGACAUUUUCUAAUGAUUUCUAUAGCAAAUAUAAAACAAUUUGAGUAAUCCAACCUAAUGGAUGUCUAAUAAUUAGAUUAAAAUAUGAAUUUACAAGAUUUUGUGAUAAGGUCAUAUUUUUGUUGUUAAAGAAAUUAUUAUUUCUUUGGAAAGUUGCAUGCUGAGAACACAUUAAGCCCUCAGUAGGGUGUGUGGUGGGAAUGCCUGGAAGUUUUAUGCUAAAUUACAGCACAAGCUGGCUGUGGGUGAUAGGAUAAGAGUUGGUUAUACCAAACACUGCAUGUUCUCACUCAUAAGUGGGAGUUGAACAAUGAGAACACAUGGACACAGGGAGGGGACCAUCACACACCAGGGUCUGUUAGGGGGUAGAGGGCUAGGGGAGGGAUAGCAUUAGGAGAAAUACCUAAUAUAGAUGAUGGGUUGAUGGGUGCAGCAAACCACCAUGGCAUGUGUAUACCUGUGUAACAAACCUGCACAUUCUGCACAUGUAUCCCAGAACUUAAAGUAUAUAUAUAUAAACAGUUGGUUAUGGAACUGUGAAGAUCUAGGAAUCACUAGAGAUUGAUUAAUGUCACACUGCAAGCAAAAUCUGGAAUCCUUAACACAUUCCAUGCGGUUUUAUGCUCAACCUGCUGAAGUACAAUCAGUUCAGAAUCGAGUGAAGUCAUAGACUGGAUUUUAUGCUAUAGCUCUAUCUGCAAAUAAUCUUUUCACACAAGAUCUCCAAUUCACUAAUUCAGAAACACUGACAACAUGCAGAGGUGGGUUUUAGGGAAACGAGAAACAUAUAACUCAUUGUUAAAUAUUUCAAAUAUUACUGGAAGUGUAUAUACAUGUAAAAUUCGCUGAUAAAUAAAAUCUCCUGUUUAGUUUUAUCAUCCAAUUUUUCUGUUAUCCCAGAGUUAAAAUGCUCUUGACUUGCAUGUUUACUCUAACCAUAGGUGAUUUUGUUCUAUUGUUGCAUAUGUAUUUAACUGUAAAUGAAGCAAGUAUUAUUUUGCAGGGUUUUAAGCUUUAUAACUGAUAUCACACUUUAUGUAGAUUUUCUGCUCCCAACAAUAUAUUUCUGAGAUUGUGUUAUGAGAUUACAUUGAGUUUAUCCAUUUUUCUGUUAAAGGACAUUUAAAUCAUUUUCAAUUUUUUUUGCUGUUAAAAUUGUGCUAUUUUUCUGUACAUUCAUUCAUUCAUUCAACAAAUAUUUAUUGAAUAUGAAACGUGCUAUACACUGCAGUAGGUAUUGGAGAUACAGCAGUAAGAAGACAGACAAAAA
rnacentral:lncRNA from 1 species